AGACUUCAAAGCAGGUGCGUAACAAUGAUAGGGCAAGGGGAGACAGUUGUCUGGGGGCCCCACUGCCUGGAGGGGCACCCCAGAGGCACCUCAUGUGACUCCCCAUUGCCCCCUGCCCAGCCCCAAGGCUCCUCAGCCACUUGCCCUGUUCGCCGUCUCUCCUGCUUGUUCUGCUGGCCCGCAAUCAAAGCAGCAGGCAAGCUGCAAAGAGCUCCUUUUCUCCCGCCUCUCAGCUGAUCGGCGGGUGGGCGGGGCUUCCACGGAGGCCUCCGUGUAGGCCGCAGUGAAGCCUGAACUCGAGUAGGGCCCAAGCCAGCCAGGAAGGAGGAGGCAGCCAGAGUGUUCUCUGCAGCAGAAGACCCCUUGCGGCCCUGCUUAACCCAGACCAGCAUUUGCCAGUUAUGGCCAGUUUCCAUAGUGAUACAAGAUGACCACUUACCGAGUGAUAGCUUACAUACGACUCCGUGGGAUGCUGGUUGACUGUAGUGCCUGCAGACUCAUGUGAUACUGCAGUCAUCUCUUGAAACUAGAAGUAUCCUAACUGCUCAUCUUCAUGGAGUUGGCAAAUCCAGUGGGUGAUGUAUCACACAGUGCGCCACCCUGUAAGGGACAUGCAUGUGCCACUUGAGUCAGGCAAGAGCCCGUCCUUGCUGGCAGUAGAGGUGGGGGAGCGUCCAUACACACAAAGCUGUGUGUAAUCACUGCUCCACCACUAGUGCCAUUGGGAAUAAUGGUAAUAGUGGAAGAGCAGUGAUUAUGCACAGUGGAGUGUUCAUGGAGCACCCCCCACUUCUUGGCCACCUCACAAACCUAUGCAUGUGCACCUCUCUUUGAUGGGCAGCUUGAUCAGCCUCCAACAGUACAUAGAUAGCAUAGAUAACAUCCUGGUCUUGGGUCUAGAUAAGAUGGCAGUUGCCAUGCCAGUCUUGUAAUAGCACAAUCUAGUCAAUAUUCUAUACUCAAUAAUCUAACAUGAGCACUGAAACACCGCCCUCCCACCUCACCCCGUAUUCAAGAACUGCAACACACUGCUCAUCUGCCGUUAGAUGGAUUUAUAGCAUAGGUUGUUCUUCCUACCAUCAGGGGACAUUCAUUCAUUAUUUAUUUACUUAUUUAUUACAUUUAUGUACAGCCCCAUCCAAACGGCUCUGGGCGCUGCACAGCACCAAAAAUAAAACCAGUGAAUCAGUCCUUUAAAAACAAUCAUUACAAAACAAUUUAAAAACAGUAUAAAACCAUUAACAAUUAAAACAUUUUAAGCAGUUUAAAAAUCCUGGAAGGCCAGGCCAAACAGAUAGGUUUUAAGGGCUCUCUUGAAGGCCAACAAUGAACUCAUGCUAUGGAUUUCUGCCAGGAGUGCAUUCCACAGCACAGGAGCAGCUACAGAGAUGGAUCAUCUCAGAUAACCUUAACAUGCGGUGGGGAUCAUGCAGAAGAAGACGCUCUUUAAGGUAACCCGGACCUAAGCCAUUCAGGGCUUUAACGGUCAUAGCCAGCACUUUGUAUUUUGUCUGGAAACAUACUGGCAGCCAGUGCAACUGUUUUAAAACAGGCAUAAUAUGGUUUCUCUGGGUUGCCCCAGAGACCAAUCUGGCUGCUGCGUUUUGAACUAACUGAAGUUUCCAAACUACGUACGAAGGCAGUCCCACAUUGAGUGCAUUGCAAUAGUCAAGCUUGGAGGUUAGCAGCUGAUGCAACACUGUUUUGAGGUUGAUGUAGCUGUCAAAUCAGCCAAAACUGGUAGAAAGCACUCCUGGCUAUAGCUUCCACCUGAGGUAUCAGGGAGAGGCCUGGGUCCAGGAGAACUCCGAAGCUGCAUACCUGUUCCUUCCAGGGGAGUGUAACCCUGUCCAGCACAGGAAGAGUUAACUCAUUCCUCAAAUUUUUGAACCCCUACAACGAGAACCUCCGUUUUGCUUGGAUUCAAUUUCAAUUUGUUAUCCCUCAUCCAGCCCAUUACUGCCUGUAGGCAGGCUUUUAGAAAAUGAAUGCCAUUUCCUGAUAAGGAAGAUGACAAGGAGAAAUAGAUUUAGGUGUCAUCAGCACACUGAUAACACCCAGCACCAAAUCUCCUGAUGACCUCAUCCAGCAGUUUCAUGUAGAUAUUAAAAAGCAUUGGUGACAGAAUGGAGCCCUGAGGAACUCCAUAUAACACCUCCUGUUUUGAGGAGCAACUAUCACCAAGCUCCGCCACCUGGAAUCUACCUAAGACAUAGGAGAAGAACCACUGCAAAGCUGUGCCGCAUUUCCCCAACUCCCCCAGGCAAUCCAGAAGGGUAUCAUGGUUGAUGGUAUUGAACGUCACCGAGAUAUCCAAAAGAACCAGCAGAGUCACACUCCCUCUGUUGAUUCUCCAGUAAAGGUCACCUAUCAGGCCUACCAAGGCUGACUCAACCCCAAAACCAGGUCUAAAGCCAGCUUGAAAUGAGUCUAGAUAUUUAGUUUCCUCCCAAACUGCCUGGAGUUGGUCGGCAACCACUCUCUCAAUCACCUUGCCCAACCAUGGAAGUUUGGAGACUGGCCUAUAACUACCCAUCGCUAAGGGAUGCAGGGAAGGCUUCUUAAAAAGCGGUCUAGCCAUUGCCUCUUUCAACCAAGGAGGCACCUUACCCUCCCUCACUGAUUUAUGAUAUUAACUAGGCCACCUCCAACAAUCUCCCUGCUAGAUAGGAGCAGCCAAGCCGGGCAAGGAUCCAGAGAACAAGUGGUAGGCUGCACCGCCUCAUGCAGCUUGUCCACAUCCUCAGGAAUCAUGGAUUGAAACUGAUCCAAUCUAAUACUGCAAAAGGGAUUGCUGGACACCCCCUUCAUAGACUUUGCAGAAAUAGUGGAGUCCAAGUCGGCCUGAAUACAAGAAAUUUUAUUUGCAAAGAACCCAUUACAAACAUCACAGCAGAACAAAGUUUCCAGGGACUGAUUUAAAACAGAAGGGGCAGAAAUUAAACUCCUCGUGACCCAGGAUAGCUCUGCUGAACACAAAACUGCGGUCGUAAUGCAUGCAGACCAAAAUCAGUUUUUUGCCACACACCCCGCCGCUGCAUAAACCUUCAAAUGGGUCCUAUGCUGUAUCCUGUCAAAUCUGAGCAGAAUUCUCCUCCACGUGUGUUCCAGUCACCUACCUUGCUGCUUCAUCCCCCACAACUCCUCCUCUGUAUAACAGGGGCCAUUUUUGAACCAGAUCAAAAGGGACACUUGGGAGCAAUUGUGCCUACCGCCCUGGUGAGUUCCCUAUUCCAGGUUCCCACCAGGGCAUCAAAAGAAUCACUGGCAGGACCAACAUAAAUACCCUCCAAGUCUUUUUGGAAUCCUACAGGAUCCAGCAGGUUUUUUUUGGAUGGACCAUCCUAAUAGGUCCACAAUCUGCAGUGUUGGAUUGUUUUGCAUUUUUCAGUGGACAUUUUGCACCAGGAGACACUUUGCACUACCAUCAGAGGACAUUUUGCAAUUUGCACUCAUGGUGGAACUCCACAUGAAUCCAGUUCUUGUAAACCAGGAGUCUCAAACUGUGUCCCUCCUACAGUUCUUAAUUACAAUUGCCAUCACCCUUUACUAUUGGCCACUAUGAGUGGGGAUGAUGGGACUUGUAGUCAACAGCAGCUGGAGGGACAUAGCUUGAAACCCCUUUUGCAAAUAUUAUGGGCCAGCAUGAGUUCAGCUGGUCUCAAAAAUCAAAUCUGCAGAACCUUUUUCACCUUGAUUCUAAGUACAUCCAUCUGGAUCUGCAUAGAAUCAGUUUUGUGAUUCUAUGCACCAGAAGGUGGCUCAACAAUGUACUUCAACUUCAAGUCCCUGGAAAUCCAAUGGGACUUAAGUACAAGUAACUAUGUAUAGUGUUGUGUGCUCUCUUGUUUAAUCUUUUAAAAAGAGCCCCAGAGUUUUAAAAUAUAUUAAGGUAUAUAAUGAGCAGCAACAUUAACGUAACACAUUUGUUAAGCCUUUCAUUUCCUACCACUCUCUGUCCCUGAGUCUCUGUCUGUAUUGCUACUUCCUAUAUCUGAUGCCACUUCCUGUAUCUGCUUUACAGACUGCUGGUAGGGAUGUGUGAGCUGGCUCAAUUCGAACCAUAGUUUGAAUUGAACUGGCCCAGUUUGACUACUCUGUGUUUGAACUGGACCUGCCCCUCAAAGUGGGGGAGCUGGUUCGAGUUUGAACCGGCCCGGCCCCAGUUUGAAUCGGACUGAUAUAGACCAGUUUGAGGUUCUACUGGUAAAGGGGGACAUGGUGAGGGGCAGUAAAUACCAGUAAAGGGCAGGGGGGCUCCCCUAUAACUAGAGAGGGGGCAAGAGGGGAAUCAGGGGUACUUAACUCGAUUUUCAGCAGCAAGGAGGUGGGGGGGAAGCAGUGGGGGCAGUGACAGGGGUGGUGGUGGCUGCCCCUACCCCUGCUGGCUUCUUCCAGAGUAGCCCAGGCCAGCAGCAGCCCAGUUUGAGCCUUCUCUGGCCCAUUCUAGUGACCUCCACACAUGUGCAGAGGUCAUUUGUGUGAGCACUUUACUGGUAAAGGUGACUCUUCACCAGACUCCCCUUUACCCUUAGAUCCCCCGAACUGGUCCACAAACUGGUUCGAAUCAGUCCCGUGGUUGGACCAGACAGGGUCUGAUUUGACCGGAAGCAGAAUGGGCUGUGUUGGUACAAAUCCAGUUUAGAUUUGAACCGAACUGGCAAAACGAGUUCUGUGCACACCCCUAACUGCUGGGAUCUGUAGUACUUCAGAAAACUCUGUAAGUGGCUAUACUACAUAUGGGAUUGUGACCCAAAAGUUAUGGUCCAGUGGUAAAACUACACAUUGCUUUAAGAAUGUACUUGUUUUCUUAAGGUUAAAUAACCACUGGAUUUGGACUGGGAGUCUUUAAACACUCCCCCUCAACCAUGAUCCUGAUCCAGGUUGUCCCCCUGCUGAUUUCAAAGAAUGUUCUCUUUGGUGCCUUCCAUCAUUAUCCCAAACCACAGGGGCCCUGAUCCAGUAACGAUUUAAACCAGGGCUGCUCAACUUCCAGCCUCCUGCAGAUGUUGCCCUACAACUCCCAUAAUCCCUGGCUAUUGGCCACUGUGUCUGAGGAUUAUGGGAGUUUUGGUACAAAAACAGCUGAGUUGAGCAGGCCUGAUUUAAACCUUUAAUAACCAAGCACGUACUUAAAGCAGUGUGUGGUUUGACCCUAAAUCAUGUAUAUUUGGAAAUGAAUGGGAAUUGAAAACUGAUCUAGAAAGAUGGUCCAAAAUGAAUCUCUCUUUAAUGGGAAGAAUUUCAGUGGUGAAAAUGAAUGUCUUGCCUAAAAUGUUGUUCUCUUUCAGACUAUUCCCAUAAUUAACACUUUAACUUGUUUCAAGCAAUGGCAGAAGGACAUAACUAAAUUUGUUUGGCAGGGGAAAAGACCAAGAAUUAAUUUUAAGAAUCUAACAGAUGCAAAGGAAAGGGGCGGUCUUACCUUGCCAGACUUAAGGUUGUAUUUUGAUGCUGUUUGUUUGACAUGGAUAAAAGAAUGGAUAACGCUAAGAAACCCUAGAAUUCUUGAUUUAGAAGGGUUUGACAGAAGGUUUGGUUGGCAUACAUAUUUAUGGUAUGAAAAAAGUAAAAUACAUAAAGAUUUUUUGAACCAUUAUGUGAGAAGGAGUUUAAUGAGGGUGUGGUUAAAAUAUAAAAAUUGGUUUGAACCUAAAACUCCGUUAUGGGUAUCUCCGAUUGAAGCUUUAUCGCGUAAAGAAGUAAAUAUGCAAACGGGUUGGGGUACCUAUAGGGAUUUGAGACAUUUUCACGAAAAGGAUUGUAAGUUAAAAAGUUUAAUUGAAAUACAAGAUAUAGUUAGAGAUUGAUUUCAGUGUCAUCAGUUAAAUGAGAUGUAUAAGAAGGACCUUAAAGUCGGAUUUGAGGACCAGACUUCAAAUUUUGAGAAGGAAUUAUGUCAAAAUGAUGAAAAAUUAGUUUCUAAAAUGUAUAAACUGUUGCUUUUGGAGGAGACAAGAGAAGAAGUGGUUAAAACGACUAUGAUAAAAUGGGCUCAAGAUGCGGGGCGUAAUAUAGAAAUGGCAGCCUGGGAAAAGUCAUGGAAAAAGGAUUUAAAAUUUACUGCAUGUUAUGCUAUCAAAGAAAACUAUUAUAAAAUGAUGUAUAGAUGGUAUCUGACAAAAAAAAACUGGCUUUAAUGUAUAAAAAUGUUUCAAACAAAUGUUGGAAGUGUGGACAUUCUGAAGGCACAUUUUUUCACAUGUGGUAGACCUUUGGGAAGGCUAAAGCCUAUUGGGAUAUGAUAUAUAAUGAACUAACCCCUGCUACCUGGGCAAAGAGGCACCUUUUACCGUGGUGAUUCUCUUUAUUUAGCAGGGGGAGAGUAACUGGUCCUAUCCACCCCCAGCACAGUACUUCCAGUGACUGUUGCUGGUGUGUGUCUUAUGUUUCUUUUUAGAAUGUGAGCCCUUUGGGGACAGGGAGCCAUCUUAUUUGUUAUUUCUCUUUGUAAACCUCCCUGAGCCAUUUUUGGAAGGGCGGUAUAGAAAUCGAAUAAUAAUAAUAAUAAUAAUUAUUAUUAUUAUUAUUAUUAUUAUUAUUAUUAUUAUUAUUAUUAUUAUUAUUAUUAAAGAAAAUAUUUAAAAUGUCAUUUCCUAAGAAGCCAGAAUCCUUCCUGCUGGGAAUAACACAAGGAGCUAUUUCUACAACCAAUUUAACAUUUUUUAUGUAUGCCUCUACGGCAGCUAGAAUUAUAUAUGCACAGAAAUGGAAGUCUAGUGAACUGCCUUCAAAAGAAGACUGGCUGAUAAAAAUUUUGGAAUAUGCGGAGAUUGUAAAACUUACAGCACUAUUAAGAGAUCAAAACUUGGAAUGUUUUAAAGAAGAUUGGAAACCAUUUUUGUUGUAUUUAAAAAAUUACUUCCCUACUAUGGACUUGACAGCAGGGUUUGAAAUUUAGUAUAAAUCGCAGGUUGGUUAGUUUAAUUAUGUUUGUAAGGGCUUGAACUUAUGUUUUGAAUUAUUAUUAUAGCAAGGGUAAAUUUUAUAGUUGAUGAUUCACGAAGAAAUGUGAGCGGGAAGUCCAUCUUUUAUGUGUGUAUUUGUAAUGAAUGACAAUAUUGCUAUUGUUAAAAUUAAUAAAAAUUGAUAGUCCAAAAAAAGGGAAAUGAAUGGGAUUAAGAUAUUUGGAAGUUGCUUAGAUUCAAGGCUAUCACGUGUGCCUGCCAGGCUAUCACCUGCCAGGCUAUCACCUGUGCAGCUCUAUGGAGGACUAUGAGCUAUAGUGGCAGAAUUUGUAAACUACUAUGUUUGUUUUUGUCCUCUUCAAUUUGUGCUGCUUCACUUAAUAUUAUUUCUGACAGUGAAAAUUAAGCUUUAACAAUAAGCCCAAUAAGUCUCACAUAGGGAUGUGCUUGUAACCAAUUCUGGAGGUUUGGUUCAAAUUCGAACUGAAUUGGAACUGGACCACCAGCGAAAGUCUGCAAGCUGAUUUGAGUCUAACUAGCCCCUGGUUCUAAUUGGCCAAUGGUCGAACUAGUUCGGAACCAGGGGC